rnacentral:piRNA from 1 species
UGUUUUCUUUGGUUUUGGUGGGAUG